CUGGAGGUGAUAGGAAUAUCAGGACAGGAUUGUAUUCCUAAUAGCCCAGUAGCACCUUAUUUCAAUGUGACUAGUUUGGAAUGUGAAGAUGUGACCAUAUACUUCCCAGCUUAUGGCUGCCUAACUACAUCUUAGCCUGUCACAGUAAGAGAAGGCCAUUACACAGACAGUGAUCUUUGAUUCUUUCUUUUAUACCUCUAUAACUAGCUAAGUAAUAAGAAUGCACCUGUAUUCUUAAAGUAUAGGCCUUUGCAGACAGGCCUGAAUAUCUAUAUCCUAACAGACCCUUGUAAUAUGCUUGUGCCUGACUCUAAGGUGUAGUGACUCUAGUGAUCUCCAGUAUAGUAAAGUAAAUGAAGAAGAUGCGAAAGAAUCCUUCUUCAAUUUAAUCUAAUUUAAAUGUUUACUUUUCCUGUACAGAUUAGCUGUUUUUAAUUCAGUUGAAUACUUUGAAAUACUAACUAUAUGGUACUGUUAUUGAGACAGUCCUUGGUAUUCUUCCAUUCAGAACUCUUUUCUGCCUUGAUGAACAUUUCAGUUAUUAAAUGAGAUAAUCCUGGAUGAAGUAACAAUAGACUGACCACCAUAAUUACCGGAGUUUAUCAGAAAAUCCAAGAUUAGACUCCCGAAUGGCUUGAAAAAUGGAAAAUGUUACUUACACAGGAAGGCAGAAAGACUUCCCAAAACAAUACCACAGGGUGCAGGAGAGAGAAUUUCUGUUAAGUAAGAUCUCUAGAACACUACACUUUAUGGGCUGCAUACACAUACAUGUUGUCACAACCAGAUCAGAUUAAUGAACAAAUGAAUAUGAAAAUGAAUAAACAUUUUAAAAUAUUCUUUUAAAGAUAAAUUUUCUGCAACAAUGCUGUGGCCAUUCUUGUCGAGGUGUGUAAGAUUUCUGUGCAUUUCCUUCCCCUAUUUGGAUGAGAAUAUAUAGCUUCUAUACAUGUUUAAUUGUUUUCUGUUAUUACUAGUGAUGAUUAAUUCUUUUAACUUACAGUUGAAAGGAGAAAAAACCCACAAAUUAUUGGCUGUAAGAUGUCCGCCAUUUUCAAAUAAGUACAUAUAAUAAUCUUUAUUUUUUGUCCUUCUAAGUAUACAAACUCACCAAAAUAGUAGCUGAUGGACAUAGUCUUCAUGUUGUGUACUUUAGGUUUGAGUGUACUACUUAAAACUUACUGUGCUGUACCCUUAAUGACUAGCUCCUCAAAGAUUUUGCUGUUAAUAUACUUGGAUAAGACGAAUUUAUAAUUACUAUAUUUUAUCAGCAUUUGCUAAUUACAUACUUUUAAAACUGCUGUCUCUGAUCUUUUUAAAACAAUGUAUUUAAACUGAUUAUUGUUCCUCUGGGUACUAAGCUGCUGUCAGCUCCAGCUCCCCCUCCGCCUCAGGCUCCUCUAGUUCCUGUGGGUACUCAGCAGCGGGCAGUCCUGGUAGCCCCAGUCCUUCCUCCAGGUCAGGUUUCUCCUGGUCCAGGGCCUCCCUGGACCAGCAGCAGGGUCUGAAGGGAACAGCCAGUGGCCUGCAUCUGACUUGGUUAAAAAUGCAAAAGUAAAGGCAUUGGGAUCAAUUCAAAGGUGAAGCCAAUGAUGUGGCAAUGCAGUUUGGAGAUGGAGAUCACUCUGAAACCUGGUGGAGAUUGAGACCAUGUGAGAACAUGAAUGAGCCUUCCAGCACAAGCUGGCUAUGGACAUAUUAAGCCGGAUAUAUGAGCAAAGCAAGGAACUCCAUUCAUCAAGAAGUUUUGAAUGUAUCUAAUAUUCAUGAUAUAGUUAAUUUGUUUAAGAAAGUACAGCCUGAAGUGAAUGAAAUAACCAACCAAACCAAUGAGAAUCAUCAACAAGGGACAAUAGCCAGGGCCAUGGUGUGCUAUGAAUGGAAGGUAUGCACCAGACAAAAUCAAAGCCACUCUCACUGAUUCAGAGCAAGAUAAAUUGCCUUCUUUUAUCACUACAGAGAAACUGAAAACUUGGUAUGGCAAAGAGAAUAUUGAUUGGUGUAAAACAAAACCAAAAACCUCACAAGGGUCCGAUACCAUGGGGUAAACUGUGAAAAGGAUAUGGAACUCCUUAUCCCUCUCAUGCUAUCCAUCCCAGUAGUUACAGAACACCAGGCUCAUUCAAACCAUUGUUAAAGCACUACCAGUAGGAGUAGUGGAAGACACUGCAACUUGUAAGGUUUGAAAAAAGUUUGUUUUUCCUCUUCAAAUACUGAGGCAUGAUAAUUACAAGGUCUGGAAAACCCCAGACUUGUCCCGUUGCUCGCACCCGAGGGACACCUACAUGUGCAGGUGUAAUGUUUUACAGAGUUGCUGGCAUGCAGGUUCACUUUGGGGGAGCAGUCUCCAAACUACACAGUCUGGUUGAGAUGCUGGGGGUACUGGUGAAGUAAAAACUGCUUAUGCUGGGAAUGAUACAUAUUGUGUGGUGGCUAGAAGUAACUAUUUUUAGUAUGGAUCCAAAGACUCUUAUUUUGAUUGUAUUUCACACUGAAAUUCACUGUAGUGAUAAACGGAAAGACUUUAUAUCACAUGUCCAUUUUUUGUAAUGUAACUGAAUUAUAGGCUGAAUGCAGAUGACAGGAGGAGGCUGCAAAAGCCGUACCGAAGGUGGGGCCUAGUAUUUUCCCCUUGAGCCUGGAUACUAAAAACUUAAUAGGUAGGAAGAGGGAAUUCAGUAGUUAACUAGCCCUCCUGAUGGGAAUAAGCAUACAACAUGGGAUUACAUCCACGGUAAAAAUUGUCAUUCAGAGUUUUGGUAGUUGUCAAUAAAAUUGUGGUAAUUGUAAUUUUGAUUUUGUAUUAUCAAGUUUAUUAGUUGUACAAAAUGCUGCAAAAAAAAAAAAAGUAAAGUAUGUUAAAAUGCUUAAUGUAGUAAACCUGAUGUAGUAUGUAGGUUUUUAAGGUGGGGAAAGUAGGAUAACUCUAAUUCUUUAAUUUCAUAUUUAUCUUAAGGUAUUUUUGUGUUUGUAAAGAAAGGCCUUGACUAGAAGGUAGAAGGAAGGCCUUGAAAAUAAGUUAUAAAGCCAGAAGGAAUGUAGUAGGGAGGCUAUCUGGCUCAAAGAAUAACUAAUGAGAUAAGGGAAAGUUUCUGAAAAGAAGGCUUUUACUGAUAGGGGUGACUGCAGAUGGUUUUAAGUAAGAAAAGAAAAUGUGUCUUAAAAUGAGCCAAAGUGGCCCUUCCCAUCCCACAUACCACUGUUAAUCUCCUGUGUGAAUUCAGGUGCAAUGGAAAAACUUGGUCAGUGAGAAGGAGGGAAGGAAAGGCUUUGGGGAGAAAGGAGGUUGUAAAUCUUAUCUGGAUGAAGACUGGAAAUAAGGGUGAACUGUCUGAGACACUCUGUGUCUCGAGGAAACACCCUGCUCCACAUGUUCAUCCUUAUAAUAUGAUUGUGUGGUAUCAAAUGCUAAGUUUGUCAUGUCAAGUGUCUUUGGAAGGCUCUUGAUGCACUGAUCAUUGUUGUUAUAGUAAUGUUAUAGGUCGUAGUUUCAUGUAUAUAGUUAUGAGGCUGAAAAUGUGUCCUCAUGGCUUAAAGCAAGCCCAGGCAAAACUCUCCAGGAGCAGAGGUGCAGUUCACACCUCAUCAGGACAUGUAUGGGAAAAAUCCAGCCCAGCCUCACAGGAACAAAGGACACGGGCCUAGGCAGCAACAAAAGAUCUGUUGGACUCUCGAGUUACCCCCCUUCCCUUGGUCAGUUUUGGACUAAGAAGAGGUAAUGCUCACCUGACUCUGAAGGGGGCGGGGGGGAAGCCAAGAAGGAAGAAAGAAAAUGAUAAAAGGGAGAGACGUUUGCCAUGCCCUUUCUCUCUCUCUCUCUCUCUCUCUCCCAUCUCCAUCCACAGACACCACCACCAAGCUAGUGAAGCGCUGAUCAAAGGGGAGAGCCUGGCUGAAGUGCAACCAGCUAGCCUGUGGUGAGAAGCAUCUAAGUUUGCAGGGGCACUGAAAGUGUUAAGAUCACCUUAGAAUGAUUGUAGAAUCUUUUGAUUUUAUUUCUUUUGACCAAAUCUACCUUGUUAUGCUUUGACUUAUAAUCUCUUAACAUCUAUCUUUUGUAGUUAAUAAAUUUGUUUGUUUGUUCUACCUGAAGCAGUGUGUUUGGUUUGAAGCAUGUCAGAGACUCCCCUUGGGAUAACAAGCCUGGUACAUAUCAAUUUCUUUUUUAAAUUGACGAACUCAUAUAAGUUUGCAGCAUUCAGUAGGCAUAAAUAAACACUGCAAGAUGGAGGUUCCUAGAGUUGUCUGUUGCAGGAGCAGUAGUGAUCGAUAUUCUGUGUAUAACUAUGCUAUAUAUAACCUGUAUACUCAAAAGGUCUGUUAUACUUCCCCCACCUCCUUUUGUCUCCUCUCCCUCUCUGAAUACCUGUGAAGUGACUUUACCCCUCCCCCUCCCUCCUGGAAUGCUUGUGGGAUGAAUGGGCAGGUUGAACAGCUGGAAGAUCAGAAAAGCUCCCAGGUAGACAAGAUGUCUGGGACUCUAAUUAGGGAGCUCUCUCACACCCAAUGCAUGGAUGCUGCAUGGACACUGGCCGAGGUGGAGUGUGACCAACUAGAUGUGGCCAAGUCAUCACUAGUCGCAGGCCAUGAGGAGCAGGUCCUUAAAAGGGGAAAGGGCCAUGUGCUCAAAAGGGCACUCACAAACUUGUACCUCCUGUGAAGGCCCUUCCCCCGGACUGCCUGGCCAGGGGUUCACUGCAUUGCAUUCCAUCGUGCCUCGAAAAGACUUACCUUCAUCGCACCGUCCAUUGCUGUGCUGUGGGACACUUACUUUCAAGGAUCCUGGCAUCUCCAGUGCUGUGCCUGUCAUGGAAGCUUGAGUAUGUGCGUGUGACACUCCACCCCUUCUUUUGAGCUUAGCUAUCAGUAUAAUAAAUGUGCUGCUUUCUGCCAAACUCUGGUAGGUCAUUAGUCUUCCCUAAGCUUACUAGCUGACCCAAUUUCGGGUAACAGUGUCUGGGACCGGAGAUGUUGGCUAGAUGUUGGUUGCACAAUCCAAGCAGUGGCUGGCCAAAAGUACUCACUCACGUAGCUGGGAGCAGCUUACAUGCUAGAGGCUGUGCAUGAACAGCCUGGGUAUGGGGGUUCUCACAGCGGAACAGGGUAAGGCUGGCUCCCAGAGUCGAGGAUUGGCAUGACCUAGCAGAUCACUGGUCCAGAUAACACUAGGGGAAGGUCACACUGUCUCAAAUUGGUUUUUAGCUGAAGUCAGUACUCAGAAAUGACAUCACUUGCUUCUUGAUGGUUAUAAAAAGUAAACUCUCUUAGAGUUCAUUGCUCAUACCUGCCUGACCACAUUGGAGCCAAUCAACAUAGGUUUAAUCACCCCUGGGAUUAGUCUGUUUGUAAGUAUCUUGAUCAAAUGCUUAUAAAUGUUUUGUUGCUUUUCAGAUGUAGUAAAUUGCUUAUUUCUGAGGCUUUUAGGCGUGUUUAGAGCAACUAUAUUAGUACACUGGGAAUUAAUAAAGGAAUUUAUGGUUAAAUUAGUGUUUGGUUUCCCAUAUUAAUAAUUUCAAAUAUUAUUAAUAAUUCCAACACAUAGCAGAAGGGCAGGAGCUGGACUCCCAGGGAGGGAGUCUGAGAGGCAUUGAAGUGAAAGGGAUGUAAAGGCAGGUUCAAGGGAGUCAGAAGUGGGCUUUUAUUUAUACUUUUAAGCUGGGAUUUUGUUAGUGGAUUCCAGGGGCGGGUCUUGAGAGUCCCAACCCUGAGAGAAGAGAGAGUUUAAAGAGGCUGUGAGGGGAAGGACUGAGUAGGAAGAAACCCAGGGAAGCAGCAGCAAGGAGUUGGACUGAGCAUUACUUUGCUGCUGGUAUAGGGUCACUGGGCUGAAACCUGAUUGUAGUGAGAGGGCCUGGGUUUCCCUACCAGCAGUGGUAUGGUGGUGUGAGGCUGGAGAAGGGCACAAGGAUGACAGCCCUCAGAAAAGAGAGUCAGGAUCAUGGGGCCCAGAGGCAUGGCCAGAGAUCUGAUAGAAGGUAUUAGACAUUGUUUCUUUGGAAUUCUUCUUGCCCUGAAAAGAGCGGAUUAAAUUGUGACCUGGCCAGAGUGCCAACUCAUAGGAAGAUGGACCACUGGAAGACCAGAGCAGCCAUCAGAAUGGGGUGCUGCUGGAAGGGAAGAGAGUUGCUACACCACCUCUGGCCAUCAGGAGGCACUGCGGCAAUUAGGGACGAUUGUGAGGAACUCCAAAGGGACCUACUAAAUCAGGUGAAUGGGCAGCAUGAUGGCAGAUGUCAUUCAGUAUUCACAAAUGGAAGAUGAGCUGUAAGAUGAGCUGUUUCCCUAAUUGCAAUACAUUGACUCUACCAUUCGGAGGAGCCUGUGCCACAGAAUGAUAAACUGAAGUUAUCAGGCAAAGAGGAGUCUUCACUUGUGAAACAGUCGGAACACAGCCCAGAGGUCCUUGGUCAGUUCAGGUAAAUACUAGAUCCUGAUUAGAUGUAUUAUGUUUUUAGCAUUUAACAUAAGUUAGUGUGACUUUUUGGACUUUGUGCUGGUUAGUUGAACACCACCUAUUCUUCAAAUGAAGUGCCAGUCACGUUUUCUCAGUAGAACGCAUAGUUGCAGAAUAUUUGAGGAGGAAAUUGUAGCAUUAGAAAAUUAGUUCUGCGACACUUCAAGCCGUCACACUUUUUGAAAGAGAUGGAGUUUAUUAUCUUUUUGUGAUGAGAGUUCUGCUUUUUGGUAAGUCUAUUCAGUGUUUUCAUAUCUGCUUUUUCCAUUUCUCUGUUCAGGGCUAAUAUUUUUAAUGCAGCAGCUCCCAUACAUCUGUCUCUCUGAGUCAUUAGGACUCAAUUCUGUUUUUUAAAAAAACAAACAUAAAGUUUCCAUAACUUGGAAAGUUGCAGAAGCCCUGAGAAAAAAAUCUGCUUCUGCAGCUUUCUGUUACAUGGAAGCCAGGCAGGUUUUGUGCUUAACAGGAUCCUUACAUUUUUAGAUAAUAGUGUUGGGUCAUAGUUUCUGUAUAUCUAGUGAAACUAUAUUUCCAUAAUAGUAAUCUUGAUUUGAUGUUUUCCACAAUGGCAGC